rnacentral:rRNA from 1 species
AGCAGUCGCCACGGGAAUACGAAGGGGGCUAGCGUUGUUCGGAAUUACUGGGCGUAAAGCGCACGUAGGCGGAUAUUUAAGUCAGGGGUGAGAUCCCAGAGCUCAACUCUGGAACUGCCUUUGAUACUGGGUAUCUUGAGUAUGGAAGAGGUGAGUGGAAUUCCGAGUGUAGAGGUGAAAUUCGUAGAUAUUCGGAGGGACACCAGUGGCGAAGGCGGCUCACUGGUCCAUUACUGACGCUGAGGUGCGAAAGCGUGGGGAGCAAACAGGAUUAGAUACCCGCGUAGUCCCUGUCUCUUAUAC